rnacentral:rRNA from 1 species
UAUGAACGCUGGCGGCGUGCCUAAUACAUGCAAGUCGAGCGAACAGACGAGGAGCUUGCUCCUCUGACGUUAGCGGCGGACGGGUGAGUAACACGUGGAUAACCUACCUAUAAGACUGGGAUAAUUUCGGGAAACCGGAGCUAAUAAUGGAUAAUAUAUUGUACCGCAUGGUUCAAUAGUGAAUGACGGUUUUGCUGUCUCUUAUAGAUGGAUCCGCGCCGCAUUAGCUAGUUGGUAAGGUAACGGCUUACCAAGGCGACGAUGCGUAGCCGACCUGAGAGGGUGAUCAGCCACACUGGAACUGAGACACGGUCCAGACUCCUACGGGAGGCAGCAGUGGGGAAUAUUCCGCAAUGGGCGAAAGCCUGACGGAGCAACACCGCGUGAGUGAUGAAGGUCUUCGGAUCGUAAAACUCUGUUAUUAGGAAAGAACAAAUGUGUAAGUAACUAUGCACGUCUUGACGGUACCUAAUCAGAAAGCCACGGCUAACUACGUG